rnacentral:rRNA from 1 species
UACGGAGGAUGCGAGCGUUAUCCGGAUUUAUUGGGUUUAAAGGGUGCGUAGGCGGAUCGUUAAGUCAGCGGUCAAACUGAGGGGCUCAACCCCUUCCCGCCAUUGAAACUGGCGAUCUUGAGUGGAAGAGAAGUAUGCGGAAUGCGCGGUGUAGCGGUGAAAUGCAUAGAUAUCACGCAGAACCCCGAUUGCGAAGGCAGCAUGCCGGCUUCCUACUGACGCUGAAGCACGAAAGCGUGGGGAUCGAACAGG